rnacentral:rRNA from 1 species
UACAGAGGGUGCAAGCGUUAAUCGGAAUUACUGGGCGUAAAGCGCGCGUAGGCGGUUCGUUAAGUUGGAUGUGAAAUCCCCGGGCUCAACCUGGGAACUGCAUCCAAAACUGGCGAGCUAGAGUGUGGUAGAGGGUGGUGGAAUUUCCUGUGUAGCGGUGAAAUGCGUAGAUAUAGGAAGGAACACCAGUGGCGAAGGCGACCACCUGGACCAACACUGACGCUGAGGUGCGAAAGCGUGGGGAGCAAACAGG